GGAAUGAAAAUAUCUUGGUUUCGGCCCAAGAAAAGACAUAAAUGUCCAUUCCG
rnacentral:tRNA from 1 species